AGAUACGCCCCUUGGAUGCCUGCAGAGAAGCUCUGGGGCUUCAGUCAAUGACUCAGGGUAGCCACCGAACAUGAUGCUCGGGCAGUGGGUGCCACCUGGACUCCACUCUCCCCUCUCUCUGGGAUCAUAGAGUCCAAGGUGUUCUGUGGCCUCUCGGCCAAUCCCAGCAGCUCAGCGUGCAGAAGACCGAGGAGCCAUUGGAAUUCAACACAACACGAAAUAAUCAACAAAUUCGGGGAAUGUUAAUCUGACCAUCACCAGUUACAAAUGAUGUUUCAUGCUACCUUCUAUUCCUGCCUUCAUAAAUCAAGCUCUAAAUCUCCAGGAAAAAAUGUGCUCAGGAUGGCCAGAGAAAUGUCCUUCCAACUGUGCAUGGAAAGCAAGGACAGCAAAGCCUUCCAGACCUGCCUGUGACAUGCACUGCACAUUCUAAAGAUGCCUAUGCAAUGGAAAACACCACUGUCUGCUCCAGCACAGCUGCCAUUCUUCCAUCUUAUCGACCUUAAUGCAACAACUCCUCACAGGCAGAGAUUUUAAAAUGUGUUCUUGGCAGAAGAGAGACUCAAAGAUGGGACAAAUGUGUCAUUUAAAUGCCUGUUAAAAUGGAAACAGACAUAGUAUAGUCAGAGGAUUGUGGCAGCUAAGAACAUAGUCUCUGGAGCAAAUCUGCAUGGGUGGCAAUGCCAAGCACAUGAGGUCCUAGUUGUAUGAACUUAGGAAAAGAAAAAGAGAACAUAUAUCCCCCUACCUUUUGAUUUCCAACAGUCUACUGAGAGGCCAAGAUUAUUUGCAGGGAAAGAAAAGGGGAAUGCCAUCCCCACCCUCUCGCAGCUACGUGCCAGUUCCAGAGCACCUGUUCCCCUCUACUUUGAAAAGGUCAAAAUGUUUUGCCAGUAACUCCCAAAUCAUCUACAGCCAAGGAGAAAAGUGUUUCAAGACAGAGGUGCUCAAUGGUAUCAAAUACUGCCAACAGACCAAGUAAUACAUGCAUUGAAGUGUCUACUGGAUCUAGCUAUAUGAUUCCACAGCUGUUUUAUAGUAACUCAGAGUUUGAAGAGAAAUUACUCCUGCAGUACCAGUUUCCAAAAUGCUUUGUAGCAUCUUCUCAAAAAACAAAUGGGAAGAAGCCAAUCAGAAAUAAGGUAGAAUUGGCCAGGCACGGUGGCUCAUGCCUGUAAUCCAGCACUUUGGGAGGCCAAGGUGGACGGAUCACCUGAGGUCAGGAGUUUGAGACCAGCCUGGCCAACAUGGGAAACCCUGUCUCUACUAAAAAUACAAAAAUCAGCUGGGCAUGGUGGCACUUGCCUAUAAUCUCAGCUACUUGGGAGGCUGCGGCAGAAGAAUCGCUUGAACCUGGGAGGCGGAGGUUGCCUCCCGGUGAGACAAGAUUGCACCACUGCGCUCCAGCCUGGGCAACAGACCGAGGCUCUGUCACGAAAAAAAAAAAAAAAAAAAAAAGAAAAG
rnacentral:lncRNA from 1 species